AUUGAACGCUGGCGGCAUGCCUUACACAUGCAAGUCGAGCGGCAGCGCGGGGGCAACCCUGGCGGCGAGCGGCGAACGGGUGAGUAAUACAUCGGAACGCGUCCUGUCGUGGGGGAUAACCAGGCUAAAGAUUGGCUAAUACGGCAUGACCUCGUAAGAGACAAGCGGGGGAUCGCAAGACCUCGCGCGGUUGGAGCGGCCGAUGUCGGAUUAGCUAGUUGGCGGGGUAAAAGCCCACCAAGCCGACGCUCCGUAGCUGGUUUGGGAGAACGACCAGCCACACUGGGACUGAGACACGGCCCAGGCUCCUACGGGAGGCAGCAGUGGGGAAUUUUGGACAAUGGGGGCAACCCUGUUCCAGCCAUGCCGCGUGUGUGAAGAAGGCCUUCGGGUUGUAAAGCACUUUCGGCCGGAACGAAAUCGCGCGGGUGAACAUCCCGAGUGGAUGACGGUACCGGAAGAAGAAGCACCGGCUAACUACGUGCCAGCCGCCGCCGUAA
rnacentral:rRNA from 1 species